CUGGUUGAUCCUGCCGGAGGCCAUUGCUAUUAGGAUCCGACUUAGCCAUGUGAGGCGCUCGAAAUUAGAUUCGAGCCGGACUGCUCAGUAACACGUAGUUAACUUGCCCUUAGGUGGAGAAUAAUCCCGGGAAACUGGGGCUAAUACUCCAUAGAAAACAGGUAUUGGAAUAUCCUGUUUUUGAAAGUUCCGGCGCCUAAGGAUAGGACUGCGGUGGAUUAGGUCGUUGGUGAGGUAAAGUCUCACCGAGCCUAUAAUCCAUACGGGCAUUGAGAGAUGGAGCCCGGAGACGUGCUCUGAGACACGAGCACGGGCCCUAUGGGGCGCAGCAGGCGCGAAACCUUUACACUGCGUGAAAGCGUGAUAAGGGGAUCCUGAGUGCCCUCUCACUGAGGGGGCUUUUCUGAAGUGUAAAUAUCUUCAGGAAUAAGCAGCGGGUAAGACGGGUGCCAGCCGCCGCGGUAAUACCCGCGCUGCAAGUGGUGGCCACUAUUAUUGGGCCUAAAGCGUCCGUAGCCGGUCAAAUAAGUCCUUGGUGAAAUCCUAUGUAAAGCAUGGGGCUUGCCAAGGAAACUAUUUGGCUAGGGACCGGGAGAAGUCGGAGGUACUCUUGGGGUAGGGGUAAAAUCCUAUCAUCCUGAGAGGACCACCUGUGGCGAAAGCGUCCGACUAGAACGGCUCCGACGGUGAGGGACGAAAGCUUGGGUCGCGACCCGGAUUAGAUACCCGGUUAGUCCAAGCCGUAAACAAUGCCCGUUUGGUGUAUCAUGUCCUAUGGGGAUAUGAUGUGCCGGAACGUAGGUGUUAAACGGGCCGCCUGGGGAGUACGACCGCAAGGUUUAAACUUAAGGGAAUUGGCGGGGGAGCACCACAAGCGGUGGAGGCUGCGGUUUAAUUGGAUUCAACGCCAGAAAUAUUACCAGAGGCGACAGCAUAAUGAAGGUCAGCCUGAAGGGCUUACCUGAAGCGCUGAGAGGAGGUGCAUGGCCAUCGUCAGCUCGUACUGUGAAGCAUCCGGUUAAGUCCGGUAACGAGCGAGACCCACACCCUUAGUUGCCAGGUUACUCUCCGGAGUAACGGCACUCUAAGGGAACCGCCUUCGAUAAGAAGGAGGAAGGAGUGGGCGACGGUAGGUCUGUAUGCCCCGAAUCCUCUGGGCUACACGCGGCCUACAAUGACCAGUACAGAGGGAUGCAACUCCGAAAGGAGGAGCUAAUCCCUAAAUCUGGUCUCAGUUCGAAUCGAGGUUUGAAACUCAACCUCGUGAAGCCGGAAUCGCUAGUAAGCGCUGGUCACUAUCUAGCGCUGAAUACGUCCCUGCUCCUUGCACACACCGCCCGU
rnacentral:rRNA from 1 species